CCUAGUGGUGAUAGCGGAGAGGAAACACUCGUUCCCAUCCCGAACACGGAAGUUAAGCUCUCCAGCGCCGAUGGUAGUUGGGGCCAGCGCCCCUGCAAGAGUAGGUCGCUGCUAGGC
rnacentral:rRNA from 3 species